AAGACGGCGUUUCCAUCGCUUUCUACCUUACAGCAACCUGGCGGCCUCACCUCAGCGUCUGCCCUCAGAAGAUGGAGUCCCGUGCUCACGGCCGACGCAGGGCUCCCAGAACUCCCGGUGUGCCAGAGGAUCGGAGAUUCCUGGCUCCAAACUCCUGCCAGGGUCAGGAUCGCCCGCGCUCCUGUGGGUGCCGUCGGGGGUCACAGUCCGGGGUGCACAGGCGCAGAGCUGACCGCCCUGCACAGGAGCCGCGGGAGCCGCGAGCUGUUCCCGGGGAGCCGGGGGUCCUAGAAGGCUGUUACGUGGUACACAGGACGAGGCGUCGGCUAGGGAAGCGAGAGGUCCUUGGUUCUUCCUGGGUGACCAUUCCCUACUCAGCGCCCUGGAAGCAGCCUCAGAGCAGCCCUGUCACCCCGCCAUGCUGCUCAACAAAUCCGGCGCUGGAUGGGGAACCUACCUCCCAUCUGUCCCCGGCCCACUGAGGCUGGGUGGGAACCUGCCUCCCUUCUGCCCCCUGCCCACUGAGGCUGGAUGGGGAUCUGCCCUCCUGUCUGCCCCCUGCCCACUGAGGCUGGGUGGGAACCUGCCUCCCGUCUGCCCCCUGCCCACUGAGGCUGGGUGGGAACCUGCCUCCCGUCUGCCCCCUGCCCACUGAGGCUGGGUGGGAACCUGCCUCCCGUCUGCCCCCUGCCCACUGAGGCUGGAUGGAGAUCUGCCCUCCUGUCUGCCCCCUGCCCACUGAGACUGGAAGGGGAACCUGCCUCCCGCCUGCCCCCUGCCCCCCUGCCCACUGAGGCUGGGUGGGGAUCUGCCCUCCUGUCUGCCCCCUGCCCACUGAGACUGGAAGGGAAACCUGCCUCCCGUCUGCCCCCUGCCCACUGAGGCUGGGUGGGGACCUGCCCUCCUGUCUGCCCCCUGCCCACUGAGGCUGGAAGGGGCACCUGCCUCCCGCCUGCCCCCUGCCCAUCGUCCACUGGGAGCCACCUCUGCCGCUGUCCCACGCCCCCCACCCCCAGAGGCUGGCCAGGCUGGAUCCAAAAGGCGGUGCGGAGAAGAAUGCUUGAAUUCCAGUAGCUAUUUCUGUGUUGUGGAUCACACAGAAGACAGGAAUCCACCAAAUAUCUGAAACGAGUUUGUUCAGAUCGGGGCUCCACUGGCGCACACGUGGGGCUGGGAAGAGAAAACGGAUCGGGUGCCGGCGACUUGUGGCAUCUGAUGGCUUGGAUUUGGGGCACAUCUCCCCAGAGGCGCGCCCGGACCGUGCAGCCGCAGCAGCUGCUCUGUGCUCGGCUUUAAGGACCCGAAUCCUCUGUGCCUCUCGCACCUGCUGUUCUUGGAGCAGAAAAGGAGGCACACAGAGAGAGUUUUGCUGAAUCCGUGACAAGACUCAGAACCAGCGCAGGCGUUUGGCCCAGGGGUCCAGCCCCUGCGGGGCCGCCUGCACCUGUGCUGGGUCCCCACUGCUCCCAGGGUUAGCUUUCUGCUGAUGGGUGCCCUCGGGGUCAGCAGGUGCCGAGUCCCCCUCACCUGCGUGGGAAACCUGGGUUGUGUUCCUGGCCGGUGGCCCAGUCCUCGCCGCUGAGGGCAUUUGAGACUGGACCUAUGGGUGGGAGGUCUUUCUUCACCUCUCUGUCUCUUGCCUUUCAAAUCAGAUAAAAAUAAGUGAUGAUUGAAAAUAAAGCUACAAAAACUGAGAUGUAGUAUGUCUCU
ensembl:lncRNA